GAUCAACGCUGGCGGCGUGCCUAACACAUGCAAGUCGAACGCGAAAGUCCCGCAAGGGAUCAGUAGAGUGGCAAACGGGUGAGUAACACGUGGGUGACCUGCCUUCGAGUGGGGAGUAACGUCCCGAACGGGACGGCUAAUACCGCAUGACAUCCUGCCUUUGAAGAGGCGGAGAUCAAAGACUGGGGAGUCGCAAGACCUAGCGCUUG
rnacentral:rRNA from 1 species